UUAGGAAAUUUAAAUAAUAAAGAAGAAGAAAAUUAGAGGCAUCACACUCGAGUACAUUGAGAUUCGGAGUUCCCAAAGAGUGUGUUGUGUCCAAACCAAAGCAGGUCCCCAAAAAAAAAAAAAAAAAAAAAAAACAUUGUUCUUGUCUGAAUGUGAUUGUACUGACUACUGAUUUUGUUUUCUUUCUUGUAAAAGAAUUGGAAUUUUCCGACGACUUUAGUCCACCACAGACUUACAAGUAAAAGUGUAAUUUUAAGCAAACGUCAAUUUCU
rnacentral:lncRNA from 1 species